CAGGUUUCACUCUCAGUUUUGGUGGCGUAAAGAAUAAAGAAAAGAGCAAUUCAGCUUUGGUUAGAGACUCAGAAUCUUUUGUAGGUCAAAUGAGGGAUCCUUUUACAGUAAAAAGUGGUACAGCAGAGUAAGUGUACAGUAGAAACCCUCGAACUCGCUUAACUCGAACUACUCGCAUUACCAGAAAUUUGGGACAUGAUGGCCUAGGCGCGCCGUUAGCAAUUUCACUGGAAUAAUU